CCUACGGGCGGCAGCAGUGGGGGAUAUUGCACAAUGGGGGAAACCCUGAUGCAGCGACGCCGCGUGGGCGAAGAAGUAUUUCGGUAUGUAAAGCCCUAUCAGCAGGGAAGAAGAAAUGACGGUACCUGAGUAAGAAGCACCGGCUAAAUACGUGCCAGCAGCCGCGGUAAUACGUAUGGUGCAAGCGUUAUCCGGAUUUACUGGGUGUAAAGGGAGCGCAGGCGGCACGGCAAGCCUGAUGUGAAAGCCCGCGGCCCAAGCGCGGGACUGCUUUGGGAACUACCGGGCGGGAGGGCCGGAGAGGUAGGUGGAAUUCCUAGUGUAGAGGGGAAAGGCGUAGAUAUUAGGAGGAACACCAGUGGCGAAGGCGGCUUACUGGACGGUGACUGACGCUGAGGCGCGAAAGCGUGGGGAGAAAACAGGAUUAGAUACCCGUGUAGUC
rnacentral:rRNA from 1 species